rnacentral:rRNA from 1 species
UACGUAGGGGGCCAGCGUUGUCCGGAAUCAUUGGGCGUAAAGAGCGCGUAGGCGGCCAGACAAGUCCGGUGUGAAAGUCACAGGCUCAACCUGUGAAUGCCGCUGGAAACUGUCUGGCUAGAGUCCGGAAGGGGCGAGUGGAAUUCCUGGUGUAGCGGUGAAAUGCGCAGAUAUCAGGAGGAACACCAAUGGCGAAGGCAGCUCGCUGGACGGCAACUGACGCUGAGGCACGAAAGCGUGGGGAGCAAACAGG